rnacentral:rRNA from 1 species
UGGGGAAUAUUGCGCAAUGGGCGAAAGCCUUACGCAGCGACGCCGCGUGAGGGAUGAAGGUUUUCGGAUCGUAAACCUCUGUCAGAAGGGAAGAAACCGCACUGUGCUAAUCAGCAGUGCCUUGACGGUACCUUCAAAGGAAGCACCGGCUAACUCCGUGCCAGCAGCCGCGGUAAUACGGAGGGUGCAAGCGUUAAUCGGAAUUACUGGGCGUAAAGCGCACGUAGGCUGCUUUGUAAGUCAGGGGUGAAAUCCCACGGCUCAACCGUGGAACUGCCUUUGAUACUGCUUAGCUUGAAUCCGGGAGAGGGUGGCGGAAUUCCAGGUGUAAGAGUGAAAUCCGUAGAUAUCUGGAGGAACAUCAGUGGCGAAGGCGGCCACCUGGACCGGUAUUGACGCUGAGGUGCGAAAGCGUGGGGAGCAAACAGG